rnacentral:rRNA from 1 species
GACGUAGGGCGCGAGCGUUUGUCCGGAAUUAUUGGGCGUAAAGAGCUCGUAGGCGGUUUGUUGCGUCGGCUGUGAAAUCCCGAGGCUCAACCUCGGGUCUGCAGUCGAUACGAGCAAAACUAGAGUGUUGCAGGGGAGACUGGAAUUCCUGGUGUAGCGGUGAAAUGCGCAGAUAUCAGGAGGAACACCGGUGGCGAAGGCGGCAUCCUGGACCGACACUGACGCUGAGGAGCGAAAGCCCAGGGGGAGCAAAACGGGG